AAGCAUAACUCCCAACUGUCUCGAAUCCGGCGGGACAUUCCUGCUUUUGGGGUGAUGUCCCGCCAUACUGGAACAGCCCCACAUGUCCUGCAUUUAACUGUAAAUAUGCCACUCGGUAAAAAGUUUGACAUUGGCUCCUCACCCUGUCAAUCACUCUUGUGCCCAUGGCUACAGUAAGCCAGCAGACACAAGAGGCUGAACCUUCCUCUACGCUCUGGCGUGCCAGUGACGUAAUCAGAUGCUGGAGCUCAGAGGAAGAAGAAAGAAGAGAAGAAGAAGCCGUACGGAAGGACAGAGGAAGAGGACCUGAACAGCAGUAGGUUCUGCAGAGAGGAGUCGUAGCUGGAAGAAAUCAUAAUGACUAUCUGGGCCGGAUGGAGAAGAAAAAGGAAAGUGACAGAUUCCAAUCAGAGUUGUUGUCAGUCACCUGAUAUAACUCAUCACCCUAUGUUAUUUCACUGUCCUUGGGUAUAGCCCAGCUGGUGCCAUUGACAUUUUCGUUUCAGCUGUGAAAACUGAGAAGUGAUCAUUAUGCAGAUAUCUGCAAUGGCUUUGUCUUCUUCAACACAGCUUUGU